CGCCUGAAGAUUGCGGUGUGACGAGGCUCUGACUCCGUAGUAAGUAAGGACGCUACUGGAGUUGAUGUUCGGUGAUUUUGGGCGCGAGCCGUCGACCGCUGUUCGCCAUUGCAGGCAUGACAAGACUCACACAGCUGAUGGGAUGAAGCCACCUGGUUCACUGGGUGAGCGUAGGAUGGAGGCAGGUGCUGACAAGCCCAAAGCUGUAAUUGGGAUUGCAGCUACAGAGGGGGUACACCUUGUCCUCUGAAGAUCCUGAUGUACCAUCUGAAAAAACAUACCUGUCUGA